rnacentral:rRNA from 1 species
CUACGGGUGGCAGCAGUGAGGAAUAUUGCGCAAUGGAGGCAACUCUGACGCAGCAACGCCGCGUGAGUGAAGACGGCCCGAUGGGUUGUAAAGCUCUGUAAGUGGGGAAGAGAAGGUUGCUAUAUGCAACUUGGACGGUACCCGCAAAGUAAGCUCCGGCUAACUCCGUGCCAGCAGCCGCGGUAAUACGGGGGGAGCGAGCGUUGUCCGGAUUUAUUGGGCGGAAAGGGCAUGUAGGCGGUUUGGCAAGUCAGAUGUGAAAGCCCUGGGCUCAACCUGGGAAGUGCAUUUGAAACUGCUUGACUAGAGUAUGGGAGAGGAGAUUGGAAUUCCUGGUGUAGAGGUGAAAUUCGUAGAUAUCAGGAGGAACACCCGUGGCGAAGGCGAUUCUCUGGACCAAUACUGACGCUGAGACGCGAAAGCGUGGGGAGCAAACAGGAUUAGAUACCCCCGUAGUC